GUACACGCUGUGACUAGCAUAUCAAUAAGCGGAGGAAAAGAAACUAACAAGGAUUCCCUUAGUAACGGCGAGUGAAGCGGGAAGAGCUCAAAUUUGAAAUCUUAAAGGGUCUCCCUUUACGAAUUGUAGUUUAAAGAAGUGUUUUCUGCUGAGGUUUUGGUAAAAGUUCUUUGGAAUAGGACAUCAUAGAGGGUGAGAAUCCCGUAUUUGACCAUUAAUUUCAACUUUGUGAUACACUUUCAAAGAGUCGGAUUGUUUGGGAAUGCAGUCCAAAAUGGGUGGUAAAUUUCAUCUAAAGCUAAAUAUUGGCGAGAGACCGAUAGCGAACAAGUACCGUGAGGGAAAGAUGAAAAGAACUUUGAAAAGAGAGUUAAACAGUACGUGAAAUUGUCAAAAGGGAAGCGUUUGACACCAGUGUUGUUUUUCUGAAAAUCAAUUAAAGAACUGUUUAUGCUAAGCUGUUUAGACUUUAUCAGCUAAUCUGUUUAGUUUUGAGCCUUUCUUUAAUGCACUUUUCAGUUAACAAGUCAACAUCAAUUUCUUUUGCUGUAAAAAAGCUUGAGGAAGGUGGCUUGAGAUUCGUCUUAAGUGUUUAUAGCCUCUUGCCUAUGCAGUCGGAGAGAUUGAGGUCUGCAGCGUAGAUCCUUCGGGGCUAAAUGCAUUUGUGCUAAGUUAUAGCAUUUUAUAGACAACUUGUUGACUAUGAUUUGUCUUGUAGCUUACUCGCUUAUGUUAUUUUACCUACGCUUAGGAUGUUGAGCGCAUGUCUCUCUCU
rnacentral:rRNA from 1 species